rfam:Zea mays cultivar B73 chromosome 4, whole genome shotgun sequence.
AGCGAAAUGAGGAGACUGAAACAUCUGAAUGUUUUUAUGUGGUGAAAACACGUGUAGUCUUCAAAGUUCUCUGAUUUCU